rnacentral:rRNA from 1 species
AACGCGAAGAACCUUACCUGGGCUCGAAAUGUAGUGGAAUCCGGCAGAAACGUCGGCGUCUAGCAAUAGACCGCUAUAUAGGUGCUGCAUGGCUGUCGUCAGCUCGUGUCGUGAGAUGUUGGGUUAAGUCCCGCAACGAGCGCAACCCUUAUCUUCAGUUGCUACCAUUUAGUUGAGCACUCUGACGAAACCGCCUCGGAUAACGGGGAGGAAGGUGGGGAUGACGUCAAGUCCUCAUGGCCUUUAUGUCCAGGGCUACACACGUGCUACAAUGGCCGGUACAAACCGCUGCAAACCCGCGAGGGGGAGCUAAUCGGAAAAAGCCGGCCUCAGUUCGGAUUGGAGUCUGCAACUCGACUCCAUGAAGCUGGAAUCGCUAGUAAUCGUGGAUCAGCAUGCCACGGUGAAUACGUUCCCGGGCCUUGUACACACCGAGACGAC